rnacentral:lncRNA from 1 species
CAAUCAUCGUUUAAGAUAUGUUUAUAUAUAUAUAAAGAUUUUAAAAUUGGACUCACAGAUUUAAUAUGGUAAGUGCAUUUAAGUAAAUUUGAUAGAACUCUCAUAUUCUAAUCUCUCAAUUUCUAAUCCCCAUUCUAAAAAAAAAAAUUAAAAUUAUUUACUUAUUCAAAUUUUUAUAAUAAAGCAUGUUAAAUUUAAUUUUAAAUUAAUUUUUUUUAUAAAUUUGACUAAUAUGUAUUUAAGUUAAUAAUUUUCUCAAUGAUAUUUUCUAAAGCAUAUUAUAGUAGCUAUCCAUGAUUUGUUUUUUUUAUGUUGAAUAUUCUUCAAUAGGUAUGGUGUAUGACUGAAAUACUGCAUUUUCCUUUUAUGUAAUAGAAAUUAGAAAUCGCUUAUGUUUGCAAAAAACAAAGAAAAAGAGAAAAAAAAGGAGAAAUAGUAUCACAGGGACUUGUUAGAAAAAUAAUAAACAAAAAUCAACAAGUAAAGAUUUACAAGUUUCACAAAUAAUUCAUAAAUCAUCAAACACUUGCUGCUAAGUUUAUAAACAUCUGUGGCAAAAAAAAAGUCUAUAAACAUCUAAUCAAACAAAUCCCAUCAAAUAAAAGAACCCAAAUAGGAAGAUCCCCACUUUCCUGUAUUCCAUUUUUUUCUAAAAUAGAAAAUAAGCAAAAGAAAAAACACCAAUAUUAUUUUAUUUCUAUAUUUCCUAUUGUGGAUAGAGGGCUAAGUUGACAUAC